rnacentral:lncRNA from 1 species
UAAGUAUUGUUAAUAAUAACAAUUGUGAAAGUACUUUAUAUCUGUAAACUAUCAUGCAGCCAGGAGUGUUAUGUCUUUGUUAGAUUCCUAUGCUGAAAUAGAAGCUGAAUAUUCUAGAUGAGGUUGGAACUUUCUAGAACUGGCCAAUUGUGGGCCACAUGAUGGAAACCCAGCAGAAGCAAGUUCUAUUGUAACAUUGUUAACAGUGAGAUGGCCCAUAGGAUAAUAAAAAUAUCAACAAAUUAUGUUCUGAUGCCUGUUGGCUCUGAGCCCUGUGUUAGAUGCUCUAUAGAGUCACCUCAUGCAGAGUUCAUAACAGGCUGACAAGGUAGAGAUUCUCUUUCUGUUGGUAAGAAACUGAAGAUCCCAGUUUUGCUAUCUAAUUUUGGUAUAAUUAAACUCGGCCAGCUAAAAAUUAUAUGAUUAAUUAUAUUUAGUGUUCAUUACACUUGCUAAUUUAGCACGAUGGGCACAUUGUAGGGCGGGGUGAUGGAUGGCGCUUGCCAGCCUUCCUGUGUGACCUUCCUUUUGUCAUUCUUCUCACAGUAGUGUCUCAGGUGGUUCUAUCCGUUGUCUUGGCUGGUUUUGGCUUGCUGUUCCACUCCCCAUUUCCCUUGUUCACUCUUUGCUGCCCUCCUGUGUGCCUGAGAGGCUCACCCUGUGGACUGAGUGACCCAGGAUCUCUUCCUGGCAUCCACAUGGUAUAGCUAAGGGGACACUCUGGCCAGAAGUGGGUAAAUAGGAGCAAAGAAUGGCAGAGUGUUUUUCCCUACACCUCUCCUGCCCUGGUGCCGAUUUGGCAAUGUGUCUCUCUGCAACUCCAGCUGCUGCUGGGCAGCUUCUAUUCCAAACCUCCAGCUGGUGCUUGUUUUUGAUGCAGCAACAUCCCUGAUACAGCUCCUUAAUGGAGACCUCAACAAGUAGGGCUUUCAUUCAGAUCUCUUCAUUUGAACCACCUAGAACAAAUUUGGUUUCUUCCUGAGUGAUACACUUGAUACAUAUUAAAAGUCUUCUAUAUGCUUUGGCAUUAAGGGAUUACUAAGCCCUAUUGAAAGUGUUGGGGUUAACAGUGUGGGUAACUGCUCUUUCCUGUGCCACAAAACCCAAGAAAUAUCAUCACUCUUUACAUCUAUUUUCUUGGAAGAAAAAGGAGGAAGGGGUUGAUUAAGUCUAUUUUGAAUAAGCAAAAGAAUAGAUGUAUUUAGAGUUAAAAAAAAUCUGAGCUGUAUGUCUUUCAGUCUCAA